rnacentral:rRNA from 1 species
AACGCUAGCUACAGGCUUAACACAUGCAAGUCGAGGGGCAGCAUGGUCUUAGCUUGCUAAGGCCGAUGGCGACCGGCGCACGGGUGAGUAACACGUAUCCAACCUGCCGUCUACUCUUGGACAGCCUUCUGAAAGGAAGAUUAAUACAAGAUGGCAUCAUGAGUCCGCAUGUUCACAUGAUUAAAGGUAUUCCGGUAGACGAUGGGGAUGCGUUCCAUUAGAUAGUAGGCGGGGUAACGGCCCACCUAGUCUUCGAUGGAUAGGGGUUCUGAGAGGAAGGUCCCCCACAUUGGAACUGAGACACGGUCCAAACUCCUACGGGAGGCAGCAGUGAGGAAUAUUGGUCAAUGGGCGAGAGCCUGAACCAGCCAAGUAGCGUGAAGGAUGACUGCCCUAUGGGUUGUAAACUUCUUUUAUAAAGGAAUAAAGUCGGGUAUGCAUACCCGUUUGCAUGUACUUUAUGAAUAAGGAUCGGCUAACUCCGUGCCAGCAGCCGCGGUAAUACGGAGGAUCCGAGCGUUAUCCGGAUUUAUUGGGUUUAAAGGGAGCGUAGAUGGAUGUUUAAGUCAGUUGUGAAAGUUUGCGGCUCAACCGUAAAAUUGCAGUUGAUACUGGAUAUCUUGAGUGCAGUUGAGGCAGGCGGAAUUCGUGGUGUAGCGGUGAAAUGCUUAGAUAUCACGAAGAACUCCGAUUGCGAAGGCAGCCUGCUAAGCUGCAACUGACAUUGAGGCUCGAAAGUGUGGGUAUCAAACAGGAUUAGAUACCCUGGUAGUCCACACGGUAAACGAUGAAUACUCGCUGUUUGCGAUAUACAGCAAGCGGCCAAGCGAAAGCGUUAAGUAUUCCACCUGGGGAGUACGCCGGCAACGGUGAAACUCAAAGGAAUUGACGGGGGCCCGCACAAGCGGAGGAACAUGUGGUUUAAUUCGAUGAUACGCGAGGAACCUUACCCGGGCUUAAAUUGCAGAUGAAUUACGGUGAAAGCCGUAAGCCGCAAGGCAUCUGUGAAGGUGCUGCAUGGUUGUCGUCAGCUCGUGCCGUGAGGUGUCGGCUUAAGUGCCAUAACGAGCGCAACCCUUGUUGUCAGUUACUAACAGGUUCCGCUGAGGACUCUGACAAGACUGCCAUCGUAAGAUGUGAGGAAGGUGGGGAUGACGUCAAAUCAGCACGGCCCUUACGCCCGGGGCUACACACGUGUUACAAUGGGGGGUACAGAGGGCCGCUACCACGCGAGUGGAUGCCAAUCCCAAAAACCUCUCUCAGUUCGGACUGGAGUCUGCAACCCGACUCCACGAAGCUGGAUUCGCUAGUAAUCGCGCAUCAGCCACGGCGCGGUGAAUACGUUCCCGGGCCUUGUACACACCGCCCGUCAAGCCAUGGGAGCCGGGGGUACCUGAAGUGCGUAACCGCGAGGAGCGCCCUAGGGUAAAACUGGUGACUG